ensembl:lncRNA
CCAGGAUCAAUAGUGUGUUGGUACGAUCCGUUUCGUCUGCGCUGACCCACGCCUCGUCCGCAGUAAACAGGUCAGGACUCAGGAGUAAACAGGUCAGGACUCAGGAGUAAACGGGUCAGGACUCAGGAGUAAACAGGUCAGGACUCGGGAGUAAACAGGUCAGGACUCAGGAGUAAACAGGUCAGGACUCAGGAGUAAACGGGUCAGGAGUCAGGAGUAAACAGGUCAGGACUCAUAAGUAAACAGGUCAGGACUCAGGAGUAAACAGGUCAGGACUCAGGAGUAAACAGGUCAGGACUCAGGAGUAAACAGGUCAGGACUCAGCAGUAAACAGGUCAGGACUCAGCAGUAAACAGGUCAGGACUCAGCAGUAAACAGGUCAGGACUCAGCAGUAAACAGGUCAGGAGUAAACAGGUCAGGACUCAGGAGUCACUCAGAGGACCAGGAGGAUAGCACCUGUCACUCAGAGGACCAGGAGGAUAGCACCUGUCAC